rnacentral:rRNA from 1 species
AACGCGAAGAACCUUACCUGGGCUCGAAGCGCAGUGGAAUCCGGUGGAAACAUCGGCGCCCCUUAAAAGGCUGCUGCGGAGGUGCUGCAUGGCUGUCGUCAGCUCGUGUCGUGAGAUGUUGGGUUAAGUCCCGCAACGAGCGCAACCCUUAUCGUUAGUUGCCAGCGGGUUAUGCCGGGCACUCUAGCGAAACCGCCCCGGAUAACGGGGAGGAAGGUGGGGAUGACGUCAAGUCCUCAUGGCCUUUAUGUCCAGGGCUGCACACAUGCUACAAUGGCCGGUACAACGGGCUGCUAUUCCGCGAGGAGGAGCUAAUCCCUAAAGCCGGUCUCAGUUCGGAUCGCAGUCUGCAACUCGACUGCGUGAAGUCGGAGUCGCUAGUAAUCCCGGAUCAGCAACGCCGGGGUGAAUACGUUCCCGGGCCUUGUACACACCGCUACAGU